GAUGAACGCUAGCUACAGGCUUAACACAUGCGAGUCGAGGGGUAACAAGGGGAAAGCUUGCUUUUCUUGUUGACGACCGGCGCACGGGUGAGUAACGCGUAUCCAACCUGCCUAUAACUAGGGAAUAACCUUGCGAAAGUAAGACUAAUACCCUAUGAUUUCCUUUGAUGACAUCAGAUUAGGAAUAAAGAUUUAUCGGUUAUAGAUGGGGAUGCGUCUGAUUAGCUUGUUGGCGGGGUAACGGCCCACCAAGGCAACGAUCAGUAGGGGUUCUGAGAGGAAGGUCCCCCACAUUGGGACUGAGACACGGUCCAAACUCCUACGGGAGGCAGCAGUGAGGAAUAUUGGUCAAUGGGCGGAAGCCUGAACCAGCCAAGUAGCGUGCAGGAUGACGGCCCUAUGGGUUGUAAACUGCUUUUAUACAGGAAUAAAGUUAGCCACGUGUGGUUAUUUGUAGGUACUGUAUGAAUAAGGACCGGCUAAUUCCGUGCCAGCCGCCGCGGUAA
rnacentral:rRNA from 1 species